GCUAGUUGGUAAGGUAACGGCUUACCAAGGCGACGAUCAGUAGCCGACCUGAGAGGGUGAUCGGCCACAUUGGAACUGAGACACGGUCCAAACUCCUACGGGAGGCAGCAGUGGGGAAUAUUGCACAAUGGGCGAAAGCCUGAUGCAGCAACGCCGCGUGAGUGAUGAAGGCCUUCGGGUCGUAAAACUCUGUCCUCAAGGAAGAUAAUGACGGUACUUGAGGAGGAAGCCCCGGCUAACUACGUGCCAGCAGCCGCGGUAAUACGUAGGGGGCUAGCGUUAUCCGGAUUUACUGGGCGUAAAGGGUGCGUAGGCGGUCUUUCAAGUCAGGAGUGAAAGGCUACGGCUCAACCGUAGUAAGCUCUUGAAACUGGGAGACUUGAGUGCAGGAGAGGAGAGUGGAAUUCCUAGUGUAGCGGUGAAAUGCGUAGAUAUUAGGAGGAACACCAGUUGCGAAGGCGGCUCUCUGGACUGUAACUGACGCUGAGGCACGAAAGCGUGGGGAGCAAACAGGAUUAGAUACCCUGGUAGUCCACGCUGUAAACGAUGAGUACUAGGUGUCGGGGGUUACCCCCUUCG
rnacentral:rRNA from 1 species